rnacentral:rRNA from 2 species
AGACCCGAAACCCGGUGAUCUAGCCAUGGGCAGGUUGAAGGUUGGGUAACACUAACUGGAGGACCGAACCGACUAAUGUUGAAAAAUUAGCGGAUGACCUGUGGCUGGGGGUGAAAGGCCAAUCAAACCGGGAGAUAGCUGGUUCUCCCCGAAAGCUAUUUAGGUAGCGCCUCGUGAAUUCAUCUCCGGGGGUAGAGCACUGUUUCGGCUAGGGGGCCAUCCCGGCUUACCAACCCGAUGCAAACUGCGAAUACCGGAGAAUGUUAUCACGGGAGACACACGGCGGGUGCUAACGUCCGUCGUGAAGAGGGAAACAACCCAGACCGCCAGCUAAGGUCCCAAAGUCAUGGUUAAGUGGGAAACGAUGUGGGAAGGCCCAGACAGCCAGGAUGUUGGCUUAGAAGCAGCCAUCAUUUAAAGAAAGCGUAAUAGCUCACUGGUCGAGUCGGCCUGCGCGGAAGAUGUAACGGGGCUAAACCAUGCACCGAAGCUGCGGCAGCGACGCUGAUGCGUUGUUGGGUAGGGGAGCGUUCUGUAAGCCUGUGAAGGUGUGUCGUGAGGCAUGCUGGAGGUAUCAGAAGUGCGAAUGCUGACAUAAGUAACGAUAAA